UAAAAACUGUAGGUUGUGAUACGGCACAUGGCAGAAAGAUGCACAGUCAAUACUUUCGAUUCCAGUUCCAGAGGCGGCGCAGACAGCAUCUGCAAGAUGUAUACGUGGGACGACUGGUCAAACCGCAAUAGUUCAUGUCGGGAGGGAUGCUGAUCAUAUCAACAGCGAUCCCCCAUGGAGCAGCAGGGAGACUGAGACCACUGUUUGAUCUGGCCUUGUUACUGGCGUCUGAAGGAUGAACGCUCUGCUCCGCACAACACAAAAUGAUCCAGGGUGAGAGAGAGAGAGCUUGCAAAAUCUUCUCUCCUCCCAAUGGUGAAAUGUGUAUAAUUGCAGCAACUUGCUUUAAAACUGCAACAUUUUCUCUACGCCCCACGGCAAAAUUUGUACAAUUACAGUAAAUGAACUCAAAAACGUUUGUUUUCUCUCCUCCGUCAAAAUUUUGCUUAGGUCCCUCAAAAGGCUGUAAACGUGUUUGUCUAAGUUGUUUUGCAUAUAAAUGAUUUAACCUAACACAAAGUGACAUUUAAAGUGCCAUGCUUAUGCCGGUAAAUGUGUGUCAUGGAUGGACAUGGCUUUUGUUUCUUUCUGAAGACAAUUCUGAGACAGAUCUUAAGGGUGCUGGCUGACAUGGCUUGCUUUUCUCCAACAGAGUGAUUAUUUAUGAAAUUGUAAAAUUGAAAUUAAUUGCACUUGUAUGUUACUCUGGAUAAGAUUACUAAAAUGACUCAAAUGUAAAUCAGCCUGGAAGUGAGUUAGAGAAACAUUGUCUUUUCAGAAAGACACAUAUUGUAAUAUUUACACGUGAUAUGUAUGUACAAUAUGUGCAUCAUACGUGUGGAUACAGCUUUGUCUCAGAAAUAGGUUGCAAAGGGACGGUAUAUUACUGGAAACGUUUUAAGUGUACUAGUAAAUUACCAGAAUUUUGGUAUCUUUCAAGGAAUUUAUCAAGGAUUUUAUCUAGUGGCCCUUUUGGGUACUUCAGAUUAUCACAGGUGUCUGUAAUUAUCUCUGCCCCUCUGUGUGGCCUUAUCACAUGUAAAAUAUCUGAAAUAAUUAAAUCAUAUUAUUUAAAAAUAGAAUGACAAAGCUGUAAAAGGUUAUCCUAAAUAUAAACCAUCAACUUAGUGAAUACCAUUGGUGUUUCAGCAUUAAAUACUUUUUUUUUUUACACUUUCAUUUAUUUUACGAUGUCAAUAUGUAUUUGUUGUCGAUGUUUUGGUGUCAAACUGGUGGCAGUUGUGAAGAAAAGUGAAUAGUUGGAAGAGUUGCAGAGUUAAUUGAAAAUAAUUUAAUUGUUAAAUAGAUGCUUUUUUCAUUAGUUAGGCUAUUUUCUCUUGAACAAUAUGGUAAAUCUACUAGAACCUCAUGGACAAUAUGGACAAUUAUACUUCAUAUAAAUAUGUUUUUUGUAAAGUUAUUCAAGCGUAAAUAACCAAAGUUACGAUAGAUUGCCAUAUAUUUUCUGUUAGUUACCAAAAUUACUGAAGAUUCUUGUAACUUUGGUAAAUUAUAGGUAGCUUUGCAACCCUAAUCAGAAAUCAGUUAUACCCUUGAGGCUCCAAAAUGUUAAUGUGAUAUAUUGUUAGAACAAUAUAAUUACAAACAAGAAUUUCA